UAUAGUUUCGCAAGCGAUACCGAGCCUUCCCCCAACCGACCACGCCACCACACUCGCUCAAACAACGUCACACGGCACGCACGAAGCGUUACCAGUAAACAUGUUUCCAAAUCCGUUCGACAGAAAACAUUCAACUAUAAGACAAGUGUUCGACAGAUUUUUAGACGGGAAGAGGAGUGUGCAUAAAAAUGCUUUGUCAAGAAAAGACAGCAAGUGUAGCAACAAUUCGUCUUGUUCGAAUUCGUCAAAUUCGAGUCGUAAAAUAUUCGGUGGAUUUUCGAUUCGCUUCAAGUGAAUCCGUUUUUGUUCGUCGUAAACCUGGUCCGAAAUGUAUUUCGCAACUAAACAUUUGGUACGUGAAAUAAUAAACCAGGCACAGGUGAUGUCAAAGAAAAGAAAUAACGGAAAAUUGACCGUUAUGAAAAUCGGCGUCUUAAAAUACUCACCGCCAAAUAACGGUAAGGGGGACGGUAGUUAAAACCUCCCUGGUACUUAACCAAGGCAUUAUGAAAUUGACUUCGACCAUGUUGGUACCAAACCGUUAUAACCGAUGUUUUUUUUAAAGUGAUUACCAAAAAUGUUUGAGAAAUUGUAAUCUCAAUAUGAACGUUUCAUUAAAUAUCUGUGGAAAUUAAUAAAUAAGUAAAUAAAGCAAGGAAAUUGUGUAUCGAAUCAGUCACACUAUUUGUAAGUAAAGGACAAAACUCGAGAUGAUAAACAAAUAACAUUGUAAAGUGUUAAUAAAGGUUAAUUGAAAAUGAUAUGGUUUAUUAUUGAACUAUUUUUAUACAAUAAAGACAUGUUUAAUUUAUUUAUAAUAUGUAUAUUACUCAUAAGUAAGCAAUUUAGAGUAUUCGUUUAUUAAGCUGUAUUGACAAUGUGUUAGUUCAUUGACAUUCAUUUUAUAAAUUUGGAAUCGUGAUCCGAGAGUAAUCUCUGCUUAAAUAGCCAAUGAGGAUGCAGCUUUUAUUAUUUAUAAACUGUGCCAUAGACAAUAAUUAUAUUUUUGUUUCAUUUUCAAUCAAUCUUGUUGUGUCUGUGGAUACAAAUUCAACUGUCAGAAAUAGUUCUUCCAUCUUUAUAAAUGUAAUUCUUCUGUAGGGUUCGUGUGUCUGUACAUAUUGAGUGUAAUUCAGUGGGAAGCAAAUGAAGUUCUCAUUUUACCCGGACGAAGUCGGGAUGAGAAGCCAGUUUUUAUGUAAUCUGAUUCUUUUGUAUAUGAUGUAAUGUAAUGUUUAUAAUGCCAUUCAAAGCUUUAAAUAGAUUUAAAUAUGUUUAUAAUUUUUCCAACAUAAUAAAGUGUUUUUUU